rnacentral:rRNA from 1 species
GCUUGUCUCAAAGAUUAAGCCAUGCAUGUCUAAGUAUAAGCCUUUAUAUGGUGAGACUGCGAAUGGCUCAUUAAAUCAGAAACUGUUUAUUUGAUAGUGCCUACUACAUGGAUACCUGUAGUAAUUCUAGAGCUAAUACAUGCUAAAAAUCCCGACUUCGGAAGGGAUGUAUUUAUUAGAUUAAAAACCAAUGCCCUCUGGGCUCUCUGGUGAUUCAUGAUAACUUCUCGAAUCGCAUGGCCUUGCGCCGGCGAUGGUUCAUUCAAAUUUCUUCCCUAUCAACUUUCGAUGUUUGGGUAGUGGCCAAACAUGGUUGCAACGGGUAACGGAGGGUUAGGGCUCGACCCCGGAGAAGGAGCCUGAGAAACGGCUACUACAUCCAAGGAAGGCAGCAGG